GUAUCAGAAGUGCGAAUGCUGACAUGAGUAACGAUAAAGGGGGUGAAAAACCUCCUCGCCGGAAGACCAAGGGUUCCUGUCCAACGUUAAUCGGGGCAGGGUAAGUCGACCCCUAAGGCGAGGCCGAAAGGCGUAGUCGAUGGGAAACGGGUUAAUAUUCCCGUACUUCUUACAAUUGCGAUGGGGGGACGGAGAAGGCUAGGUGGGCCUGGCGACGGUUGUCCAGGUUCAAGUGCGUAGGCUUAAGAGUUAGGUAAAUCCGGCUCUUUCUAAGGCUGAGACACGACGUCGAGCACCUACGGGUGUGAAGUCAUUGAUGCCAUGCUUCCAGGAAAAGCCUCUAAGCUUCAGAUUGUAAGGAAUCGUACCCCAAACCGACACAGGUGGUCGGGUAGAGAAUACCAAGGCGCUUGAGAGAACUCGGGUGAAGGAACUAGGCAAAAUGGUACCGUAACUUCGGGAGAAGGUACGCUCUUGAUGGUGAAGUCCCUCGCGGAUGGAGCUGACGAGAGUCGCAGAUACCAGGUGGCUGCAACUGUUUAUUAAAAACACAGCACUGUGCAA
rnacentral:rRNA from 1 species